GUAUGUUGCCUGUUAGUCUAGGGUACAAACUAGCUCUACAAUAUUUUACCUGGACUAUCAUCCUCAAAAGCACUCCAUACGUCCUCUUUUGUAGUUGGAAGGUUCUAUAGUUUUUUUCCAUCCAUAAAUGAUAGAAAAUGGAUGCCAAACUAAUUCUCAAGAUUUCAGUUGUUGUACUCUUAGCUUUUACAUGUGUUAUAGCCCAACUUAUUCUUCAUUCCACCCCAAGUUGCUUCUGUGUGACUUUUCAUGCCAAAACUUUCUUUCAUACACUUGUGGACACAAGAAAGGUGAAAAACAAAUGAUGGUAACUCUCAGGUGCUUCCUCACAUAGUGCGCAGACCAAGUUUGUAUGAAUGCCCCAUUUAUCCAAUCUGUCCUUAGUAGACAAUCUCCCAUUAAUUGAUAGAAACAAGAUGAAUUUCCAUUUGUUAUUUUCUUGAUUGUUACAAAUAAGUUUUUUUCAUUCCAUAUUAGGGUACUGACCCCUAAGUUGAGUAUACAUGCUCUUAAUAGAGAAAGAUUCAGCUGUCAUAAUUGCUUCAACAUCUAGUCCUGGUUCUUAUAACUACUUUCCUGCUGCCAUGAUUGUCUAAAUUAUCCAGGAUGCCUGGUUUAUUACUACAUCCCAAGGUUUUCUACCCUUCAAGUAAUAUAUAUGGUCUCAUCUAACCCAAAGCCUGUCCUAUUUUUAGUUCAAGUUCUAUAGAUAUUUUAGAAUGGCUGCUUUGUUCCACAGGUUAAGAUCGGUUAUGUUAAGGCCACCUGUUGAUUUUGGUCUACAUAAUACAUCCUAAGCAAUGAUUGUUUUUCCUUUUGAUUGAAUGUCUCAAUUCCAUAAGAAUUUUCUACACGUUGCUUCCACUUGCUUUAUACAUUCUUAGGGAUAUGGAAGAUUUGGGACUAGAAAGAUUGAAUGUCAGUUAGAACACUAAUGAUCAGUUGCAGUCUUCCUAUGUAAGAAAGAAAAUUGUACUGUCCAACUAGUUAUUUUUCCAGUCAUUUUAUCUAUCAAAGGCUGACAUUGGCCAUUGAUAAUUUCUUUGUGCUCAAAGGUACCCCUAGGUACCUAAAUAGAAGUUAGCCAAGUGAGAAGCCUAGUUUGGGCAGGAUUACUUGAUGAGUAUUAACUGCAACCCCACCAAAGUAUAUGCUGCUUUUUGCUUGAUUUGCUAUCAAACCUGAGACUGCAGAAAAUUUCUUGAAACACUCAUAUAGAAAACAAGCAAAUAUUUCAUCCCGUCCACAAAAUAGAAAAAGAUCAUCUACAAAGCUUGUCUAAAUUAUGUUCAGCUUUUGACUCCUUGGAUGAAAAUUAAAAUCAGGUUGUCUUCUAUGUGUUUUCAGCAAUCUAGUCAUAUAAUCCACACUCAGAAUUAAUAGGUAUGGUUACAACGGAUCUCCUUGUCUUACUCCUCUUUUAGAUUUAAAUGGGGUUAAUGGUACUCUAUUCAUAAUAAUGGAAUAAGACACAGUCUUCACACAACACAUCAGUCAUUGCACAACUCUUCCUAGAAAGUUCAAACUAAGCAACACCUCCUCUAAGAAAGGCCAUUUCAGAGAUUAAUGUUCCUUUUGCAUGUCUAUCUUGAUCAUGCAUCUAGGUAAAAUGCCUUUCCUUUCAUAUCCCUUCACCAGUUCAUGACUAAGUAGCACAUUAUCAGUCAAUAUUCUACUAGGAACAAAGACAGUCUGACUAGCAUCCACUAGGUAGUCCAUUACAUGUUUCAGUUUAUGAGUUAGCAUUUUGGAAAUGAUUUUGUAAAGUGUAGAGAAACAAGAUAUAGGUCUAUAUUGCUUGAUAAAACUAGGGUGUUGAAUCUGUGGAAUCAGGGUCACAGAGGUAGUAUUAAUAGGCUUAUACAUUUCUCCAAUUUCAAAGAAAUCCAACACAAUAUUUAUUACCUCUCCUCUACUAAUUGGCCAAACUCAUUUGAUAAAAUAGGAGUUGAAACCAUCACCCCCCCCCCCGAUGGGUCUUUAUUAUCAUCAAUAUCUUAUAGUGCAUUAGUGAAAUCUACAGCAGUAAAAGGUUGAAUAAGUUGGAGUUGUCGGUCCAUCCUUGAUCGCUUCAGGGUGUAUAAUUCCUAGGAAUAUAGUGGCUUUUCCUAGAAAAUCUUUAUGAAAGCCCAUAACUCUCUUGUAAUCUCUUUUGUAUCUCUUACUAUAGAACCAUUCUCUACCUGCAAUAUUUUAAUUUGAUUUUGGCUCCUUCUCCCUUUUAUACUUUCAAAGAAAUCGGAUAUAUUAGAAUCACCCAGCUUAAGCCAUUGGACCCCAGACUUUUUCCUAUAUAUACUCUUUUCAAUCAAGCUCCAUUUGUUAUGUUGAAACCUAAGUUCCUUCUCUUAUUUUACAAGAUCAUAGGAUACAGGAGCUUGUCUCAUAAGACUUUGCUUAGCCAGGAGCUCUGUUCUAAGAUUUUGCGCCCUUGUAGUAACAUUCAGGUACUCAUUUUUAUUCAACAGUUGUAUUUCAUAUCUCAUGCUUUUCAGGUUUUCCAAAUGCCCUUCAUUCCGGAACCUUUGAUCAUUCAAUUUGUAUUAACUCUUGUUUGAAAUUCAGAAUGUUAUGCUAGACAGUUAUAGAAUUUAAAAGGAUUCUUCCUUACAUAUGUUUGCUCUUCUAGGUUAAUGCUUAGAGGUGAAUGGUAUAAAAACAUAGAGUCCAUUGCUAGUACUUGCACUGCAGGCAUUGCUACCAGCCAUGGGGUAUUGACUAUGGCAUUGUUAAUCCUAUUGUAAACAUGUCCAUUGGUCCAUGUAUAAGAUCUCCCUACAACUGGAAGUUCUAAUAAAUGACAGUCUUUCAUUAAGCUUCUUGAAAUCUCUUGUUUUAUACUCUUGAACUUGACUACCAACCUAUAUAUAUUCCAAGGAUAAUAUAGAAUUGGAAUAUCCCAUGAUAAGCCAUGGCUCCCUGAUGUUUGUGUCUAACUUUUUUAAGGUACACCACAGUGGUGUUCUUGUUUCAAUUGUGUACAACCCAUAUAUUAUAGUAAACUGAAUUUUCCUUUCAAUCUCUAGGUUGUAAACCUCUCCAUGGAUAUGCUAAGUUGAAAUCUCUACUUGUUGAAAAACUACCUCAUUAGGAUCCCAGAUAACCCAUAACCUUCCUCUUAUAUUUGUAGAAGCAUUUAUAGACCAUCUCCACCUAGGCAACAACUUAUUAAGUAAUCUAUCAUCUAUAUUAUUUUGAACUCUAUGUUCACUAAUUGCAAUAACAGAAACUUUAUUCUUUCUCAAAAAGAUCUUUAUUUUCUUCUGUUUCACCACUUAGUUAAAGCCCCCUUACAUUCCAUGUGACUAACAUACUUGAAGGGGAAGUGUAUGUGGAAAGAAAUCCUCCACAUCCACACCACUACUUUCUGUAGACACGUAAUUUUAUUCCUUUCGAAAGUUGAAUUUACUUAUUUACCCUACCUUACCAACCAUGUACCUUACCCCAUGUGAUUAUUCUUCCACAAAAAGACAAAAAUAACAAAAUUCUUAACAAACUAACACCCCAUCAAUCAAAUAUAACCACCUCACCCUAACAAAAAUAACAACUUCCUACCCCACCCUCUACUCCUAUCCCUCACCCCUACCCUCACAUACCAUACCCCAUAUGUUUUAUUUUACUUUUCAACAAUAUUAUAAUACAAUACCCAUAUACGCACUACACUCUGAAUACAAACAAAACACAUAAUUUACACACACUACACACAAACACAAAAUGAGAAAAAAAAAACAAGGAGAAAAGUGGCGAAUAAGGGAGAAAAUAGAGAAAGAGAAGAGUGAUGAGAGAGAGACGCGAGAAAAAGGGAGAUCGAGAGAGAGAGGGAAAGAAUGAACAAGCGCGUGACUAUUUUUUGUGAGUUCUCAUCAGAAAUCCGCCAAAUUAGCUAUCGGAACACACCUGAUGUUACUGUUAUGGUCAAUUCUUGUCAGGGAACAUCGCUGGAAUUGACAUCCCCCAUCGAAUCCGACCACCCGCAGGCCAAAAAUUCCCGAAUCCUUAUUUGUUUCAGUUGAUCCAGCAAAAUCUCACUGGGAAACAUCAUAUUGUUGGUUUCUGGGGUCCUUCAAAGCUACGACAUAGCGAGACACCGCUGCAAAAAUCACGACCAGUCAAUCUCGGUGCCAAAAUGCAUAGGAAAAAUAAUCGAGUUGGAUAAAACUGAGUUUGGGGUUGAAAUCGGUGAUUUGGUUUGAAUCAAGGUUCUUGGCGUGGACUUGAUCUCGUUUAAUCGAAUAAUACUUGAUUGAAAGAGACAUUAAGGUUCAUUUCUCAUUCCUUUCUUGAUUAAUUUUAAAUUUUAAUACUUUUUGCGGAGAAUUGAUAAUGUGUGGAUCUUGCUUUAUUUGAUUUAGUGUUGUUUGGAUCAUUAAUGUUGAUUAAUUGGUCACUUGAAUAGGUUAAUUAAAUAAUGCAAACCCGUUUGGGUAAAUAAAAUUGGGAUGGGAAUUAUAAAAGUGAAUAUUAUUGUGCUUUGAGUCCUCUAUUGUUGUUGGAUUUAAAAUAGAUGUUAAUUCUGUCUAACUCGGUAGUAUCAUGUUUUAGGCCGAGAAUCAAUAGGAAAAUUGUAGGUCUUAGGAUAGACAACUUGUAGGAUUCUAUACCAUCAAAUGCGUAAUGUCUAUGUUGAGUGAUUUCGAUACCUUUGUAUCGCACUUCAUCAAAAUGAAAUAUCCCGAGGUCACAUUGUACUUAUUCAUCGGGGAAUGCUCAAAGUAUCAUGUACGCGAGGGAUGUUCGUGAUCAAGGCCCAAGACAUAAGGUAGAGCAUAGUUAGGAUUAGUAUAGGUUAGUGUACGUUUAUAUUUCAGAACUUUUUAUUUCAGACAGUAAUAAUUGGACUGGACACUAUAUUUUUGUAUGUUUGUUUAUUUUGUUUUGUGCGUGUUUUAUUGAGGUUUAUACAUUUCAUAGUAUCGUGCUAGUCGAUAUAGUUCAUGAAGUGACCAUGGUUAAACCACGGGAUCGAGGGAUGUCUAAUACCUUCCUCUCGGUCAACAGAAUUCCUUAACCAAAAUCUCUGUUCAUGGAUCAGUUUUGAAAGAGUCAACAAUUAUUUUGAGAAAGCUGACUUGGCACACCUGAUUUAUGACAAGUGGAAACUCUGAAUUUUGAUUGUUAAAGGUCCUUUUCGAAAUAAAUUAUUUUCUUUUGUCACUUAAUAAUAAAACCCUUUUCAAACUUAAAAUGAAUCUUUUUUGGGUAAAAGGGGGUGUGGCACAUCCUUAUCCAAUUUCAAAGGAAUUACUACAGCUUGGCCUUGAAAAUGUAUCUGGAAUGUUAACUGGACUCUUUCCAGCUGAAGUAGCCUGGAUAGUUUGCCAUUCUUUUAUUGUAUUGAUUGCAGCUUCUCUUUGUUCCUUAGUUUAGUUCAUUGCCUUGGACUUAUGAUUGAGUAUUUUUUUCUCUAAUUCCUCUUUGAUCUUCCAUUCCUUCUUCUAUUUUUGUCUUUGUGUCUUUGUAGGUCCUUGAUUCUUCAUUGAUGGAGGGUUUAUUUUACAGGUGUGCCCUACCUAUAAAUAUUUGUCACAAUAUAGAGGUUUCUAAUCAUACCAGAUUUGCUGCUUUAUGAGCCUACCUUUAGGAUCCUGAUUUUUUAUAGCUCUGGGGAGUGGUAUGGUGAUAUCUACAUCUGCCAAAAUAUGAGCAAAUGAUAUCCUGCUAGCCUAAUUUGCACACUCUUAUUCAUACAAAGGUUUUUCGAAGGUACUUUCUAUUUUACUUAGCACUACAGUAUUCCAACAAUUCAAGGACGGGUUAGGUGGCUUAAUCCAUAAAGAAAUAGUAAUUAGGAUUUCCUUACUGAAGUUGAACUCCAUUGUCCAAAGCUUAAUAAUGACUGGUCUUUUGAGUAAAUAGUGUGGUCUGGAGCAUAGAACUACACCCCUUUCAUCCUCAUUCACAAAUCUGACAAUAAAAUAUCCAUCUGUGUGAUAUAACACCACUGGUUUACUAGUAAAGAUCCCCUGUGCUAGGAUAAACCUUUCCAUAGCACCUAUAGAAGGACUAAUUCCCACAACAUACACCACAAUAGUGUAACACCCCGCACUUUUGAGCUAACAUUGAACCAUCUUUCCUACAUUUAUAAACCCAAACCCAAUGGUUUCUAUCUAAAUAUAAGAGUGAAUAAAAUUUAUUUAGUGUGGGAACAUCCUUGUAGAUGAAUAUACGUUGUAAAAAUCUCCUAUCUCAAAAGUUAAGUUGAGCAUUUUCCUAUCAAUUGACUUUUAGUUGAUGAUUUUGCAUGGGUCGAAUUCCAGCGACCUUUUCUCUUUGUAUAUAGAGAGUUAUGUGGCCUACUAUAUAUCAACUUAAAGCUCUUCGAGUCUUCUUUCUAAUGCCACGGGCAUUUGUCAAUCCGAGUUCGAAGUCAAAAGUUAUGAGUGUUUGAAUAAGACACUGUCCAGGGUAUGCGAUGGCCAUGCACCGCACAGCAAUCUCCAAAGCAUACUGCCUCAGCCGUGCAAUGUCCAUGCGAUGCAAACCUUAAGGUUUUCUUUGUCCAUGCAACACAUAGCCUAUUUGGGGCAUCAAAAGUGUUUCGUUUGAUUUAUUUUAAAGGCAUAAAGGUCUUUUAUUAUCCCAUAACCACUCCUAACCCCGUUUGGAUGAAAACUAAACCUUAAACACAUUAUUUUCUCUUCUAAAAUCCCCAAAUCAUCUUCCCUAAAUCAAAGGGGAGAAACUACCUAGGGUUAAGGAAUUCAAGCUUCGGAGGUCCAAUUUCUCUACGUUCUCUUCAAUUUUUUUCCAUCAAAAGGUAUGUGGAACUAUCCUAAAUUUUAUGGAUGUAAGUUUUAAAGUUUUUACAAGAUCUAAAGUAUAUAUGUACGCACAUAUUAUGAGAUUUGAGAUUGUUUUGAGAGCAUGCAUUAGGAACCCCGAUUUAAGAUGAAAUCUUGUUUAAACCAUGGGAGGUUUUCCUAAACUUGAAUUAUGCUCAUAUGUAUGGAUGUUAUGAGUAUGAAAAGUUAUAUGAACAAAUUAUUUAUGGAAUUCCCUCUCUUGUUAUGAAACCCAUUGUCUUAACAAUUUUGAAGAUAGUUUACACGAAUAGUUAAAAGUUUGAGUUUAAAUAUUUUGCUAAUCUUUAUGGAUUGUUAUUUUUUUAUUAACGAAUGAGAGAGGUUUUUCCUGAUUUACAAAUUUUCAUAUUUCCUAAUAAAGAAUUUGCAUGUGAUUGAUGGAAGAUAUGACCACCGUAUGAUAAAAUAUUGAAAAGAGAGUAGUUUUCAUAAUUUUUCAUGUAUUUUGAAACAAGCACUCUCAAGUGAUGUUUAAAUCUUUUGGAUGGUCACUAACGUCUUUUAAAUUAGAAGGUCAGGACUAUAAUGUGUUAUGAAAUGAAGGACUUGCAAUUCUGGGUAUGACGAUACCCUGUUAUGAUGUUCCCUAAACAGAAUAAGAAAGGAACUAUUUAUAAGAAGAGAGUAUUGAGUUUAAGAGUCUAAAAUUAGGUUUAAAGAGAGUUAGAUGGUUACCCGAAGAAGGCACGAGUUCAGAUAAUUCAUUACCCAAAACUGUGUUUAGCUUAUACGGGUUUUAUUUUUCCCUAACAUAGGGGAUUGUACGUUGUCAAUGACAUUGUGUCAUAAUAGAAAGCAGAGACUCCAGCCCUUGCAGAAAACUUGGGUUGAGGUCUUGACUGUUGAGUUAAGGGCAGAUUCCAUAUAUCCCAUGAAAUUACAGAAUUGUAGGGUGUACCAUCUAGCUCAGAAGUAGAAUAAAGAGUUGAGUCAUGAUUACAAGAAAAUAUUUUUAAGCUCAUCAAAUUAUGCCUAUGUGUUUUCAUUGACCUUAUGCUAAAUUGUUUAUUGAAAUGCUCUUACUUAUGUUAUAAAAAAAUAUGUUAUUUUUGAAUUAUUCUACAUACCAGUAUUUUUGAGUACUGACCCCCUAUAUUCAGGUUCUGAGGCCCAUUCCCGUGGUCCUGCAAACUGGUAGAUUAUUUUUCAGACUUUUAGAGAUUGAUGAGCCUCCCUUACAUCGGAAGACAUCCAUCCCAUGUGUUAUUUCAUUUUUAUGGUUGUUAUGGUCCUAUCGAAGGUCUUGUCCUGGUCUAGUCAGACUAUUAUUUUCAGUUUAGUAGAGGCUUCGUAAGUGGUUUUAGAUUGGAUUUAGGCUUUCCCUUUUAAUACAAUUUAUGAAGCUUUUAGUUUGAUUUUGGGACUACAGUGUUUUCAAUUUAUCUUUCCCAAAAUUAUAUCAUAUGAGUUAUGCUUAUGAUUACAUGUUAAGGGUCUCUCGAGCCUUCAUGGUUCGGGAUGCCUGUCGCAGCCAGGGCCUCGACUCGAGUCAUGACAACUAGCAGAUUUCCAUUUGGCCUCCUCUUUAGCUAUAUCUUCAGUAGAGAUUUCAACCACUUUCACCCCAUCAAUAACAGUAGGUGGAAUGAAGGUUAGAUCCAUACCUCUAGUGGCCAAUUUAUUGGUAGAAAAUAAAUUAAUCCAUGGUUUCUCAGUUGUCUUCUCUGACAAAUUGAGCUUUCUCAUAUUUUCCCCUACCUCAAGAACAUGUACUAUUUCAUUGGAUUUAUAUAGAUCUAGUCCUAAUUGAGCUGGAAUUUUGCUUUCUGCUCAUUUGGUAGGUAACUUAGUUUAGAUUGCACCUCUCAUUGCCUUUCUUGUGGAGAUUUCUCAUAUUUGAUCAUCGUUGCCGACGUAGUUUGUGGAGUUCUUAUCGAGGUUUUGAGCUUGUCCCCACUCACUGGCCGCAAGCCAUUUCCAGCUCGCUCAGAAAUGAUGCAGGAAAAAUGGUUGUUCACUAGUGAAGUUGUUGAUAUAUAGUAAUAGGGCCACUUCAUUAGCAAUAUACAGUAAAAGAUAAGGUGAAGGGGAACCAAUAAUAAUGGAAGCAAAAUAAAGGACAAGUGUGGCUGACGACAUUCAUGAUAAGUUGUCAUCCUGGUGAUAUGCUAUCAAGGCCACCAUCAGACUUAACCAGAGACUGAGAGUUGAAGAGAAGUUGUGACGACAUUUUGUGACAAGGCGCCAGAGUUUUGAUAAGGCGUUAGGAUCAUCGUUAGCCUUAGGCAAAAAUUAUAAAAAGGGAAGAGGAGCUGACGACAUCCAUGAUACAUCAUCAGACUCCUGACACAUAGAGGAGCUGACGACAUCCAUGAUGCAUCGUCAGACUCCUGACACAUCGUCAUUCACAUCAUCAGCCUUAAGUAGAGCUUGUCAAAAUAGAAGAAAAUCUGACGCCAUUCCUGAUAAGGCCUCAGACCCUUGAUUAGGCGUCACCUAAUGGCGUCAUCUGUCCGAGAAAUUUACUUAAGUUGUUAUUUUAUUUCCUUAACUAGACUCAAGUAUAAAUAAGAGCUUUUAGGGUUUUCUAAUGAUCAUUAACAUAUCUUGCAAUAUAUGUUAUGCAUGAUUUAUCUCUCUCGAGUUCUAAUACGCUCUAGAACAUUAUUGUUGAGAGAAGAUUGUCGUCAAUAUUUUAGGAGUUUUGUAUUAAGAUUCAGUUCAGGUUACACUUCUUGAUUUUCAUCAUCAUUGUAAGUUAAUAUGCCCAGCUAUGAAUUCAACUUAUGUACUUGUUUAUUGCAUCAUGAGUGGCUAAA